UACGUAGGGGGCAAGCGUUGUCCGGAAUCAUUGGGCGUAAAGCGCGUGUAGGCGGUCCGGUAAGUCGGCUGUGAAAGUCCAGGGCUCAACCCUGGGAUGCCGGUCGAUACUGCCGGACUAGAGUUCGGAAGAGGCGAGUGGAAUUCCCGGUGUAGCGGUGAAAUGCGCAGAUAUCGGGAGGAACACCAAUGGCGAAGGCAGCUCGCUGGGACGUUACUGACGCUGAGGCACGAAAGCGUGGGGAGCAAACAGGG
rnacentral:rRNA from 1 species